UACGGAGGGUGCAAGCGUUAUCCGGAUUUACUGGGCUUAAAGGGUGCGUAGGUGGGCGAGUAAGUCAGCGGUGAAAUCUCCGGGCUUAACCCGGAAACUGCCAUUGAUACUAUUUGUCUUGAAUACUUUGGAGGUAAGCGGAAUAUGUCAUGUAGCGGUGAAAUGCUUAGAUAUGACAUAGAACACCAAUGGCGAAGGCAGCUUACUACACAGUAAUUGACACUGAGAGACGAAAGCUAGGGGAGCGAAUGGG
rnacentral:rRNA from 1 species